rnacentral:lncRNA from 1 species
UCGCCUCCGACUAUUAGGAUUAGGAUAUAUGGAAUAGCAGGGGCGACAUCCGAUAGCUUCUGCUACACACGUCUGUAUCAUAACGCUCCUUGAAAAAAAAAAACAAGUCAAAACUUAAUGUUCCAUAUGACGUUCCAAAAACUAUUCCAUGUUCACUAUUAUGACUUCCCUUGCUAGACCUAGUAAAACUGUGAUGGCUGUUUACGUGUUUACAAACCAAACGUACAGAAGUCCUUUGCAAAAUUUAUAAUACGACUUCAAGUGCUUUUUACUUUGUACGCGAGGGAUGUGAGUGUACAUUAUCAAGUCAAACAAAACCAUAUUUUGUUUAAUUACUGCAAACGUCUAUCGGUGUCGUACAUGUUACAGAAAAGGAGUUGGUGUUGGAGUGAAGGUUAUCUAUCGGUCAACAGACACCAUACACAUCCUGCUGCUCUUUCCCGACCCCUGUGAUGGUCACGAUCAUCUACUUGUCCCUUCUCUGUGUGCUUUGCUAAUGUUUAAACAAACACUAACAUGUGGCUGCCGCUGUUGCUGCUGGAGAAAAAAAAAAUGUAAAGAAGCCGCUUUGCCACCCAAUCGCUCUGUCCAGCGGAUGCCAUGUGAUCUCAAGCAAUUCCAACUGGCAAUGGAAAAAGAAAAUCGUUAACUAGUGGCCGAGUUCUAUUUACUCAAGGACUAAAAGAAUCAUUUUUCUUAAAAGGAGGAAAGACAGUCGGCACAUGAUGGGUAGUUAAGCAAAAAAAAAAAAGUUAGUAGGUAUCAUUUAUUAUCUUAACGGUUAUUGGUCCCUUGUGGACGACUGGAGGUGAAGCGGUGCAAGUGUUGGACAAAAGGAAGGUCCUCCAGUUUUAACUACCAGAUCCGUAUAACUCGGCUAGUCAUUUCUCGCCUAACAAAAGACAAUAGGUAUCGUUGAUAGAAGUUCAAAGAGGGAAGGUCGACAGUGACCACAUCACAGGUUGGCCGGGGCCUCAAUUUGGAGACGAGAAAAGAGAGCAAGAAGAAAAAAGAAAAAGAUAAUCAAGUCGGUCAAACUGCCGGUUCGACUAAUUUGUAGGCGGGGUCACUAGGCAGUCCAUGAUUUUUUUUUUCUUCCUGGGAGCUCAAACGUUCCGCUUGGUUGCUCUUUUUUUUUUUUGUCUUUCCCACCUGGAUCAAUAUGUAUACGUAUAUGCGGGUUUCUGGAGAGGUUGCGCCGGCAACACUUUCCUCUCCGCCCUCACACCCACCUUCAAAUUAUCUGUAAACUAGCACCUCGCAAUUAAAUCUUCUCCAACCACCUUUAUUUUUUGUUCCAGGAAAAGAUGAAAGGAAAAUAUUCAUGCGAAGGUUUUUUUUUUUUGGUGACUGGCAAACUAUUGGGCGGACAUUUUUUUUUUUUUCAGAAAAAGGGUAAUCGAUUCAGAGCAAAAGCCCAAUCUAGAAACAAAAGAAAAGAGAGUAUAGCAAGUAGAAGACUCUUUUCUUUGCCCAUCAGGUCUGAUUACCUGAGCGCGGGAACCCACCCCAAAAAAAUAUGAAAAUUUGAACCGCAGUGUUUCGUAUCGUGUGCUUGUGCUCCAAAACAUUUUUUUCCCAUACAAAUCAUCGAGCAGUCAAGUUAGAAAAAACAAAACAACAAUUUACUUGUAAACAUCGUUUUAUGCCCACUCCCUAACGCAUUUGAAUGACCGUUUAAAUUACAUCAUAUAAAAAGCCCGUCUUCGGCUGUGCGUUGUAUCAUUAACGAAGAAGGGCUCACCUUCUUCUCUCCCCUAUAUUUGUUGUUUUGUUUUUGUUUUUCUUUCCAUUUAUUACUUACUGUUCAAUAAAGAUACGCAGCCAAUGCGAAAGAAUUCCACGCGAGUGUUAACCGUUAAUUACCCACGGUUAGACUCAAAGGUAAUUUCUCGCUAUUUCUUUAUGUUAGAAGAUGAAAUCGAUAAAAGAAACAAAAUCAUCGCCGUUUAACCCGCCCCGAUAAGGGUCAAAUUAGUGCGCGUGGGAAAGAAGCAGAGACUUUACAAUCCUUGGUGUAAUCUUAAUGCUUACUUUUAAUUUGUUCCCCCCCCCCUUUUUUUUAAACAUUUCUCAGACUAACGCGUGGAUUUCAUUGGAAAUAAGUUUGGUCCACCGGCGUAGGUAUCUGCGUCAUCGAGUGUUUCAUUGAUGCAAGAUUUGCUACGUCACGUUCUGGAUUACGAAUACUAAGACGAAAGUAUAAAAACUCAUGUAGUGUGACGUCUAGAGUAUCUUUUAGUCAUUUCUUUUGCAAAGUAAACCAUAAAUAGCAAUAGAGUUUAACGUCAAUGCCAAGGAGAACCAAGAGUUCAACUGCUAUCAGUUUCCGGCUAAUGCAAAAACAAAGUUAAUGGCAUAGGAAAAAUCAACAGACUGAGACUCAUGUCAAGAAACGAUUAUGAUUCCUUGAGACUUCAACUUCGGGAUUUGUAUUAUGUAAAUGUUAACUGUUGACACAACUUGGAGGGUAACAUUUUUGAUCAACUGACAACAAAUUAAACGAAUUCUGUGUACAAAAACAAACGCAUCUUCCUACGAUAUCAUACAAUGAAAACAAGA